rnacentral:rRNA from 1 species
UACGUAGGGUGCGAGCGUUAAUCGGAAUUACUGGGCGUAAAGCGUGCACAGGCGGUUUUGUAAGACAGAUGUGAAAUCCCCGGGCUCAACCUGGGAACUGCAUUUGUGACUGCAUAGCUAGAGUACGGUAGAGGGGGAUGGAAUUCCGCGUGUAGCAGUGAAAUGCGUAGAUAUGCGGAGGAACACCGAUGGCGAAGGCAAUCCCCUGGACCUGUACUGACGCUCAUGCACGAAAGCGUGGGGAGCAAACAGG